rnacentral:rRNA from 1 species
GUGGGGAAUUUUUCGCAAUGGGCGAAAGCCUGACGAAGCAACGCCGCGUGGAGGAUGAAGGCCUUCGGGUCGUAAACUCCUGUCGACUGGGACGAAAGCGGUUUGGGCCAAUACCCCGAGCCGUUGACUGUACCGGUGGAGGAAGCCACGGCUAACUCUGUGCCAGCAGCCGCGGUAAUACAGAGGUGGCAAGCGUUGUUCGGAAUUACUGGGCGUAAAGGGCGCGUAGGCGGUCUUGCAAGUCCCGUGUGAAAUCCCCCGGCUCAACUGGGGAACUGCACUGGAAACUGCGAGGCUCGAGUUCGGGAGAGGGAAGCGGAAUUCCGGGUGUAGCGGUGAAAUGCGUAGAUAUCCGGAGGAACACCGGUGGCGAAGGCGGCUUCCUGGACCGACACUGACGCUGAGGCGCGAAAGCUAGGGGAGCAAACGGGAUUAGAUACCCUAGUAGUCC